UAUAGUUAACUGAACUUGCUGAUCCAGACAACCAAUGAUUUAUAAAGGAAAAUCAUGGAAAUCAUCAGGGGUGACCAAACCUUUGCAUACAACUGUAUAUCUCAGCUUCUUGUAAUUACGAUUUAACAUCUUGUAAUUAGGACUUUAGCCCUUUUAUUUAUAUCUCAGCUUCUUGUAAUUACGACUUUGGUCCUUCUAAUUAUAUCUCAGCUUCUUGUAAUUAUAACUUAACAUCUUGUAAUUCUGAUUUUGGCCCUAUUUAUUCUAUCUCAGCUUCUUGUAAUUGGAACUUAACAUCUUGUAAUUCUGAUUUUGGCCCUAUUUAUUCUAUCUCAGCUUCUUGUAAUUGGAACUUAACAUCUUGUAAUUAGGAUUUAACAUCAUGUAAUUAGGACUUUAGCCCGUUUAAUUAUAUCUCAGCUUCUUGUAAUUAUAACUUAAGAUCUUGUCAUUGAGACUUAACAAAUCAUAAUUAUGAUUUGGAGGGGUGUAAUUAUGAGUUAAUACCUUAAAUUUAUGAGAAAUAUGGAGUGGGAAAGUAAGAUGAUGGGUAUUUUGUUUAUCUGGUGGGAACAUGCGUCCCUGCAGACGUUUCUUUCUGUUCCACGUCACAGUCUGAAUGUCAACGACAACAGUGUGGAAUUUUAAUUGGUGCAUUUCCCUUAAAUGAUAUUGAAAUAUGCAGUUUUUACAUUUCCCAGACUUCUUGUCCUAUGCAAUGUAAUACUAUUUUUUGUGCGUUUUGUGUGUUUGUUGACUGUGUAUGUAACCUGAUGUAUCAUUUGCGUGAGCUAAAUGACUCUAAGCCACCUGCUGAUCUCUGAUCUGUGGAAUAUUACACCAGCUGACCGUUUUUACUGUCCAACAGAAAAUCUGUAAAUGUUUUACACAUACAAAAAAAAAAAAUCUUAAUCCUAUGAACAAAAAUGACAAUCCUAUUUUUCAUCU